rnacentral:rRNA from 1 species
AAAUUGAAGAGUUUGAUCAUGGCUCAGAUUGAACGCUGGCGGCAGGCCUAACACAUGCAAGUCGAACGGUAACAGGAAGCAGCUUGCUGCUUUGCUGACGAGUGGCGGACGGGUGAGUAAUGUCUGGGAAACUGCCUGAUGGAGGGGGAUAACUACUGGAAACGGUAGCUAAUACCGCAUAAUGUCGCAAGACCAAAGAGGGGGACCUUCGGGCCUCUUGCCAUCGGAUGUGCCCAGAUGGGAUUAGCUAGUAGGUGGGGUAACGGCUCACCUAGGCGACGAUCCCUAGCUGGUCUGAGAGGAUGACCAGCCACACUGGAACUGAGACACGGUCCAGACUCCUACGGGAGGCAGCAGUGGGGAAUAUUGCACAAUGGGCGCAAGCCUGAUGCAGCCAUGCCGCGUGUAUGAAGAAGGCCUUCGGGUUGUAAAGUACUUUCAGCGGGGAGGAAGGCGAUAAGGUUAAUAACCUUGUCGAUUGACGUUACCCGCAGAAGAAGCACCGGCUAACUCCGUGCCAGCAGCCGCGGUAAUACGGAGGGUGCAAGCGUUAAUCGGAAUUACUGGGCGUAAAGCGCACGCAGGCGGUCUGUCAAGUCGGAUGUGAAAUCCCCGGGCUCAACCUGGGAACUGCAUUCGAAACUGGCAGGCUAGAGUCUUGUAGAGGGGGUAGAAUUCCAGGUGUAGCGGUGAAAUGCGUAGAGAUCUGGAGGAAUACCGGUGGCGAAGGCGGCCCCCUGGACAAAGACUGACGCUCAGGUGCGAAAGCGUGGGGAGCAAACAGGAUUAGAUACCCUGGUAGUCCACGCCGUAAACGAUGUCGACUUGGAGGUUGUGCCCUUGAGGCGUGGCUUCCGGAGCUAACGCGUUAAGUCGACCGCCUGGGGAGUACGGCCGCAAGGUUAAAACUCAAAUGAAUUGACGGGGGCCCGCACAAGCGGUGGAGCAUGUGGUUUAAUUCGAUGCAACGCGAAGAACCUUACCUACUCUUGACAUCCAGAGAACUUAGCAGAGAUGCUUUGGUGCCUUCGGGAACUCUGAGACAGGUGCUGCAUGGCUGUCGUCAGCUCGUGUUGUGAAAUGUUGGGUUAAGUCCCGCAACGAGCGCAACCCUUAUCCUUUGUUGCCAGCGGUCCGGCCGGGAACUCAAAGGAGACUGCCAGUGAUAAACUGGAGGAAGGUGGGGAUGACGUCAAGUCAUCAUGGCCCUUACGAGUAGGGCUACACACGUGCUACAAUGGCGCAUACAAAGAGAAGCGACCUCGCGAGAGCAAGCGGACCUCAUAAAGUGCGUCGUAGUCCGGAUUGAGUCUGCAACUCGACUCCAUGAAGUCGGAAUCGCUAGUAAUCGUGGAUCAGAAUGCCACGGUGAAUACGUUCCCGGGCCUUGUACACACCGCCCGUCACACCAUGGGAGUGGGUUGCAAAAGAAGUAGGUAGCUUAACCUUCGGGAGGGCGCUUACCACUUUGUGAUUCAUGACUGGGGUGAAGUCGUAACAAGGUAACCGUAGGGGAACCUGCGGUUGGAUCACCUCCUUA